CCUUUCGACGCCUUGUCGAGUGAGGUUCAACUGUCUGUGAGUACAUUGACUUCGAGUUGUGGAGAAUGUACCUCAAUGUACUGCACAGAAGUUAAAGACUGUAAUAAGCUUUAUCAAGAUCUCCACAAACUAGUAAGUACCACUGUCACUGCCCAAGACUCAAGGUCGGUGAAAAAUCCUUGAAUGAAUUCCUUGGAUAGUUUGAAGAACAUUAUGGGAGUACCAUCCAGUGGAAGAGUUCUACUAUUAUACAGACAGCUUCUUAAGCAAGGAAAGGCACUGCAAUAUACAGAUUAUGACUUUUUUCGAAGGUCAGUAAGACAAGAGUUUGAACAACAAAAAGAUGAAGUGGAGAUCAAAGUAAUCAAGGAACAAUUUGAGAAAGGAGUGCACUUUUUGAGGACAAAGUUAGGUGGACUGCAGUAAGGCAAGGAAAAUAGGCAGCUGUGCAAAAUCUCCAACAAAAUGUUAGACCUGCAAGAACAGAACCCAGCUCCAUGUGCUGAAGAGAGAAGAAUUAACACAUCAAACUAAAGGAAUGUUCCCCAGCUGGAACAAAUUGCUGUUAAAUUGUUGGAGGUAUAGUCUUGUAAUGAAGUUUGUCUAAAAAGUGGGAAAAAUUGAAUGACAUGAUGGUGAUUUUGGACUUUAGUUUUCUGAUGUACUAUCAUUUUGACAUUACAUUGUGACAUCAAGCAGACUCAGGGAUGUAGCUGAGUUACCUUAGCAUCAGUGGGGAGGAGGAGAGAAGCAGAGCAAGGCCUGACAUGAAGACAUUCAUUGUCUCAUGUUGAAUGUUCAAAAUCUGGACUCUAUGCUGAUUGGAUAACACAGAAAAGACUCUUAUGUCACUUGUGAUUUAGACCUACAUCAGCAAUUUGAUCAAGAGAUGUAUUUCAAAAACAUGAAAAAGUUGGGAAAUCAUUUAACAGUGCUAAGUUUUUUAUGCACAGGAAAGAUUUCAACUUGCGAUCAGGUGUUAGCAGGUUAGAAAGUACCCCAAAGUUCUUUCAAGGCAGGUAUCUUACUAAAGCAAAAACAUGCUUCUUUUUGUACUAGUUGUUUUGAUCACACAAAAACAAAAUGAAAACAUGUUCAUUUACAUCAUGUGUAGCCAGGCAAGAGUAAUGUACUCUUUUCAAGCCUAUUUAUGACUGUCAAAGCUUAAGUUGAAAACAAAUUUACCAAUGCUUGUCAUGUAUUAUCAGUGUCAUACUGUGUGUGGCAAAAGUCUAACUCUAAGCUGUAGGGUAGUUCUGGAAGUGCUAGCCAAAGAAUUUAUAUCUGUAAUAUAAUCUCACAGGACAGCAUUAGCAUAGCAAUACAUGACCUAUUUUUUGUUUGCAAAUUUUCACAGUCUUGACAUUUGCAGAACUUUCAAGAGGCCAUAAGGCACUAUCUUGAAACAUUAUUCAUCAGUUUUACAUGACAACUGCAGGACUUGAUGUGAGUUUGAUUAUUUACUUCUUAUUAAGACGUAUCAUGCCUCUGCCAUGCCAAGCUUUUCUUCCUCUCCUUUCGUUCUUUUUCCUCCCUGUCUCAGACUAGUAGCUAAGGGCUGGCUCGCUGAUUUCAUCAGAUAAAAGGAAGCUAGUUUAUUAGUCGUACCUUAAAGAUGCAAAGCUGUAUCCUUGGGGACAGCCCUGGUGGAUGUUUCAGUAUACCUGUGUGAGGGGAGAAAUUCAAAACCCAGAAGAACUGAUUUGUAUUAAAUUUCUUUCCAACAAUUAAGAAAAUUUUGAAGUUUGACUUAUUUCAGUGAAUAUCUAGUUAAUAACUAAUUUCCAGCACUGAUUUAGCAGUAGAAAGAUUAGUGGUGGUGCCUUUAAACCUUGAACUUAGCUUUGAGUGUACCUCAAGCUGUUUGCACAGUCAAAUGUCAACAACAAAACAAUGCUCUUUAUUGACAAGUUCAAGUGAAUGAUAUCUCUUUAAAAUGUUUUACAAGACUGUUGAACAAUGUUUUUGUAUUGCAUUACCAGCAUAUCAAUAUGCUACUUUGUUUUCUUAAAUAACUUUCUUAUAGCUUUUAUUUAAAUAAAUUCAUUCAUUGUUUUCAUUUGUUGGCUGGUGUUGAUAUAAUAUUAAAGCAUUUCCACCAUUGUC